rnacentral:rRNA from 1 species
AAUCCAUAGGUUAAUGAGGCGAACCGGGGGAACUGAAACAUCUAAGUACCCCGAGGAAAAGAAAUCAACCGAGAUUCCCCCAGUAGCGGCGAGCGAACGGGGAGGAGCCCAGAGCCUGAAUCAGCAUGUGUGUUAGUGGAAGCGUCUGGAAAGGCGCGCGAUACAGGGUGACAGCCCCGUACACAAAAGCGCAUGUGCUGUGAGCUCGAUGAGUAGGGCGGGACACGUGGUAUCCUGUCUGAAUAUGGGGGGACCAUCCUCCAAGGCUAAAUACUCCUGACUGACCGAUAGUGAACCAGUACCGUGAGGGAAAGGCGAAAAGAACCCCGGCGAGGGGAGUGAAAAAGAACCUGAAACCGUGUACGUACAAGCAGUGGGAGCCCCACCACCAAAGCAUUCUCUGGUGUUGAAGGCCCUGCAAAGCAGCAUCGCGGUGGCGGAGCGUCGUUUGCGACGCCCAACGCACAAAACAAGCGGUGAGUGCUUUGGGGUGGGGUGACUGCGUACCUUUUGUAUAAUGGGUCAGCGACUUAUAUUCUGUAGCAAGGUUAACCGCAUAGGGGAGCCGUAGGGAAACCGAGUCUUAACCGGGCGUUAAGUUGCAGGGUAUAGACCCGAAACCCGGUGAUCUAGCCAUGGGCAGGUUGAAGGUUGGGUAACACUAACUGGAGGACCGAACCGACUAAUGUUGAAAAAUUAGCGGAUGACCUGUGGCUGGGGGUGAAAGGCCAAUCAAACCGGGAGAUAGCUGGUUCUCCCCGAAAGCUAUUUAGGUAGCGCCUCGUGAAUUCAUCUCCGGGGGUAGAGCACUGUUUCGGCUAGGGGGCCAUCCCGGCUUACCAACCCGAUGCAAACUGCGAAUACCGGAGAAUGUUAUCACGGGAGACACACGGCGGGUGCUAACGUCCGUCGUGAAGAGGGAAACAACCCAGACCGCCAGCUAAGGUCCCAAAGUCAUGGUUAAGUGGGAAACGAUGUGGGAAGGCCCAGACAGCCAGGAUGUUGGCUUAGAAGCAGCCAUCAUUUAAAGAAAGCGUAAUAGCUCACUGGUCGAGUCGGCCUGCGCGGAAGAUGUAACGGGGCUAAACCAU